rnacentral:rRNA from 1 species
GACGAACGCUGGCGGCGUGCCUAAUACAUGCCAGUAGAACGCUGAAGAGAGGAGCUUGCUCUUCUUGGAUGAGUUGCGAACGGGUGAGUAACGCGUAGGUAACCUGCCUGGUAGCGGGGGAUAACUAUUGGAAACGAUAGCUAAUACCGCAUAACAACAGUUGUUGCAUGACAGCUGUUUAAAAGAUGCAAUUGCAUCACUACCAGAUGGACCUGCGUUGUAUUAGCUAGUUGGUGAGGUAACGGCUCACCAAGGCGACGAUACAUAGCCGACCUGAGAGGGUGAUCGGCCACACUGGGACUGAGACACGGCCCAGACUCCUACGGGAGGCAGCAGUAGGGAAUCUUCGGCAAUGGGGGGAACCCUGACCGAGCAACGCCGCGUGAGUGAAGAAGGUUUUCGGAUCGUAAAGCUCUGUUGUAAGAGAAGAACGGGUGUGAGAGUGGAAAGUUCACACUGUGACGGUAUCUUACCAGAAAGGGACGGCUAACUACGUG